AACGAACGCUGGCGGCGCGCCUAAUACAUGCAAGUCGAGCGAGAAGACGUAGCAAUACGUUUGUAAAGCGGCGAACGGGUGAGGAAUACAUGGGUAACCUACCCUCGAGUGGGGAAUAACUAGCCGAAAGGUUAGCUAAUACCGCGUACGCUCCUUGGACUUCGGUUCAGGGAGGAAAGCGAUACCGUGGGUAUCGCGCUCUUGGUUGGGCUCAUGUCCUAUCAGCUUGUUGGUGAGGAACGGCUCACCAAGGCUUCGACGGGUAGCUGGUCUGAGAGGACGAUCAGCCACACUGGCACUGCGACACGGGCCAGACUCCUACGGGAGCAGCAGUAAGGAAUAUUGCGCAAUGGGCGAAAGCCUGACGCAGCGACGCCGCGUGGGGGA
rnacentral:rRNA from 1 species